GACGAACGCUGGCGGCGUGCUUAACACAUGCAAGUCGAACGGAAAGGCCCUGCUUUUGUGGGGUGCUCGAGUGGCGAACGGGUGAGUAACACGUGAGUAACCUGCCCUUGACUUUGGGAUAACUUCAGGAAACUGGGGCUAAUACCGGAUAGGAGCUCCUGCUGCAUGGUGGGGGUUGGAAAGUUUCGGCGGUUGGGGAUGGACUCGCGGCUUAUCAGCUUGUUGGGGGGGUAGUGGCUUACCAAGGCUUUGACGGGUAGCCGGCGUGAGGGGGUGACCGGCCACAUGGGGAGUGAUAUGGGGCCGAGACCCCCGGGGGGGGGAAGGGGGGGAAAUUGUGCAAAGGGGGGGAGCGUGAGGCGGCACAGCCGCGGGUGGGGUGUGGGGGCUUGGGGGUUGAAACCCGUUUGCGCCUGUAGAAGAGUUGGGGGACGGGUGUGGGGAAAGAAGAACCGGGUAAAUACGGG
rnacentral:rRNA from 1 species